rnacentral:lncRNA from 1 species
UGUGUCAAUCCCAGGCCAUGGAAUGAUUUCAGUGGAAGAUUAGGCUCCAAGAAGCCAGUCCAGUCUCUAUGCUCAUUCAACCUGGAGCUGAGUUUUACUUCCAUCAUUUGGAGUAGUCUGUCUGGGAAACUGUGUUCACCUGGCUCAACUUCCUUGACCUUAAGAUCCUUCCGUUUUAAAUCCAGACUUCAGUUUAUUGAGGUGUCACUUAGAGUCACUCCUUGUAAGUGGUAGAUUUUGACGAACAUACCCAUCAACACAGCGUAACUACAGCCCUUGCAUUUUCUGCUCAGAAUAACGUUUUCCCAUUCCUAUUAUUUUGAAGUUUCCAGAUCCUCAUUUAUGAAACAAGGCUGACUUUUUUCAUACUCCUGAGUACAGCCAACAUGUUAAAAUGUAAGGUUUUAAUUGUGAUAAAAUUCACAACUUUCUUCUUUUACGAAUUAUACAUUUGGUGUCUUUUCUACAAAAUCUUUUGUUAGACAAAAGAUCACAAAUUCUUUCUCUUAAGUUCUUUUUCAGAUUUUUCUUUGCUUUAAUUUUAUUUUGAAACUCAUUUGUGUGAGUGUACCUGUCACAGUGUGUGUGGAGGUCAGAGACAACUUUCAUGAGUUGUGUUACCCACACCAGCCUAUAAAUUUGUUGAAGUGAAUUGAAUCUCUCAGAAUACAUGGGUGUAUUAAAGCCACAUCAAGAAACCCAGGUCCCGAUAUGUAGUUGACACAAUGCACCAAGGGAAGGGUGUAACUCCCUCACCUGCACCCAGGAAGAAAUGCACCGCUAGUACUACGAUGGCAGCUGCCCCCAGUGACGGAUCAUCUGACCUCCUGGGUGUGAGUCGAGGGAUCAACAGGCAGAGAAUUCCCAGCAGUCACAAGGGCUUCCACAUGACUUUGUUCCGAAAGUUGAUGUGGUCUGUCCACUGCUUUGUCCAUCCUCCUGCUUAUCUGUGUGGACCUGUCUGGACUCAUUUGUCUCUAGACCCAGCCUCACCUUUCACUUCCCCAAUAGGAUUCAACUUCACAGCUCAACCAGCAGUCCGUAUGUGACUCUAAGGUAGCUAUGACUGUUUCUCCAGCUGCUGCGGUCAGCUAUCUCACCCAUCUGGCCCUAUCUGCAUGUCUAUCACUUUCCCUGUUUCUUGGGACUUCAGAAACCUCUUAAACUCUGCUGCAGUCUCAGAACUCUUUGUAGUCAGUCACUUUGUCACUAUAUAUAUAUAUAUAUAUAUAUAUAUAUAUAUAUAUAUUGUGAAAUAUGUAAUGUGUGACCUGAGAGUUAAUAUUAGUAAUUAAGUUUUCAUUAUUGUUAGUUUUAGACAAGUUAAUAUACUCUUAUACAUACCUGGGAAGAGAGAAUCACAAAUGAGUAAUUGUCUCUGUCAGAUUGGCCUGUGGGUAUGCCUGUGUGGCAUUUUCUUGAUUGCUGCUUGGUGUAGAGGGGCCCAGACCUACCAUGGGGCAGUGCCAAACCUGGGCAGGUGGUCUUGGGUUCUAUGAGAAAACAAGCUGAGCAAGCCACAAAUAAGCAAACUAAUAAACAAAUUUCCUGCAGGGCCUCUGCUUCAGUUUCUGCCAUUGUGUCCCUGCCUUGAGUUCCUGCCCUGACUUCCCUCAGUGUAGACUGUGAUGGGAAAAUAAUGUGUAAUGAUAUGUAAGGUGAAUAAACCUUUUCCUCCCCAAAUUGCUUUUUAGUCAAGAUGUUUUAUCACAGCAGAAGAAAACAGGACAGAUUGAAAUUCUAAACACCCUGUUUGCCUCGACAUAUUGUCAAGGAAAAACAGACCAUGUGGCAAAUUGCUGUCAAAAAAAAAAUCAUCGACCCUUGCAAAUUUGUUAUGCAAUAAAUUCUGACACUGUGGGAUGACACGAACAUGUUCAUCUGUGUUUCUGGCAUAGUAGUUGCAUGACCUUCAGUGCACAUAUUUAUUUCAAAAUCUGACAAAAUGGCAAUUAUGUGCCCAAAGAACUGUGUGUUAGCCAUUCCCCAGGGACACUGUCACUGCAGCAUGGGAGAGUCCUGUGAGUGAACAGCCCCCUUCAGAGUUACAAGGUUAGUGAUGCUGCUUCUACUAGGGGCUAUUUUCAGCUGCUCAGUAUCUGGCCAGCAGAACCCAAAGCCCCUGAGCACGGAUGCAGUCUUUUGAGUAGCCUCCACUGAAUAAGUGUUUGUGGAAUGGAUGAGUGGAGGUCCCACAGGGCCAUGCAUUUAUCAUUGUGCUCAGAAUCUUGCACUAGCUCAUUCCUUAUCCUGCCUUUGCAGACACUGUUUCAAUGGGGAAAAUAAGCCUUCAGCCAGGAGGCACCAUUAUCUCCCUUGCUUCAUCCAACCUCUGCUGUGAAAGGCACAGAGCUAAGAAGAAGCAUGCAGCAUCUUUCUGCACAGGAUUUGGGCCCUUUCAGUGUUGUGUUGUUGAAGUGUCUGCAUGCCAGAUAAUGUGGUUAGUCAAUGAGCUUCUAGACACAUCUAUGGUGUCCUUCAGGCUUAAGGGAAGCAGUUGAAGGUUGCUUACCAAAAUUACUCAUACAUUCUGAUACUUAAUACCCAAAUGAAACUCUGGCAGGUACCUGCUCCUGUUUAUUGUGAGAAUCCAUUGGCCCCCUGAACACACCUGAGCUUUGGCAUUCUCUAGCUACCCCGCUAUUUAUUCUUAGAAGUUAUCUGGAGGCUGGAAUGGAGUCAUGACAGAAUAUGGUCCAAUACAAGAGGCAGCCUGUAUUGUUUGCACAAGGAAGAGCAUCGUUAUUUCAAGGCAUCAGAAUACUUAUAGUCCACAGCACCUCAAUGUGCCAGCCUGUGAGGAGGCCAGGUCUCUUCUGGACAGUUGGCCACAGUCUCUGGACUCUGGGAAAAUGUAGAGAAUGACAUCUUUCUCUGUGCCUGACCCAUGAUUCAACUGUAAUCUUAGGGCAGGUACCUUAGCCUAUGUAGCGCCAACAAGGCAGACUCAACCACCUCUUGAAUAUACUAGUUUAAAAAGGAAGUAAUGAUGAAAACCAGAGAGUGGAGAAUCAGUCAGUGGGGCCAACUGAGAAGAACAGAUGAAGGAGCCCAGAGACUAAGUUUAUCUUUGGGGUACAGACACGAGCUUAGGCUUAAACAUAGAAAGAACUGGAGUAUACAUUAGUCAUCCUGGACAAAGCGUGGUUCUAUUCAUCAGUAUCUCAGCCACCAUCUUGCAAGCUUGAGUGUUCAUGUCUGUCAUCCUCUGAGAGUGAUGCUUGUGUAGAGCUCAUCAUCUUCAUCACAGAUCACUGCUCUCAUCCUAGGGGUCUAUCCUGACCUUCCUCACGUAGAGGUGGCUUCAGUCCUUUGUCACAAAGAUGUUGAUUGACCUAUCCUUCUGUUCUUGGAACCCGAGCUGUCUCAAGAGCUGCAAGCCUACAGUUUUCCAGGAAUUUCACCCAGAAAUCCCAUGUACAGCCACGAACCCUGAACUGGCCUGAAUCGAGGUCCCUAAAGGAUGAAGAAAACUCAUCAGGCUGUCAAGAGUGACUUUGGGGUAACCUGAAUCCAUCUUUGAGGGCCAUCACCGGCUAUGUGGUUCAUCCUUGAACCACACAUCCCUAUGUGGAUGGCCCCUCUUUCAGAACAUUAUUAUGACACUGCCAUUCUUGAGAUUACAGGCGGCUUUCCCAGAGCAUCACUCAUUAUCAACAGUCAACUUGACAGAACCUGGGACCGUAGAAGAGGCAAGUCUGGGGAUGUCUGCAAGACAGUUUCUAGGUUGUGUUAACUGAGAUGGGUCUUCAGACCCACCUUAAAUGUGAGAGGCACCAUCCCAUGGACUGGAGUGCUAGACUGAAUAAAAAAGGAGGGGUGAGCUGAACACCAGCAUUCAUCUCUCCUGGCUCCCCAGCUGCAGACACAGUGUGACCAGCUGCCUCUGCUCUUUACCAUGAUGGACACAUGACAUGCUGUCUCUGCUCUCUCCACCAUGGUGGAACUUGAGCCAAAAUAAAUCCUUCCUUCUUUGUAGUACUUUGUCAGAUACAGUGUAGUGACAAAGCUGCAGCUAAGAGACCGGUGUCUGCAUGCUGCUCACACCUGUCAGGACUCAGGCUUUGACUCCAGUAGCUCCAGUAACAGCUUUCUUUUUGCCUUCCCCUCAACAAAACCUUCCUCUAAGGGUUAUUAUUUCGCAGAGAACCCCUACUUUAAAGGAAUCCAUAGCGUGGAGAAUGUAUAAAAAUGAUGAUUUCUAGGACCACAAAUGUUUGCCUGGCUGUGUAACAAGGGUGUUGCAUUGGCUCACUUUCCUACCAUGGAAUACAGUCAUGGCCAGGCCAACACCAACUCAAAAGAAGACAAGGCCUGAAGGCAGCAUGGCUAGGAUGCCAGCAGCAGAAUACUGGAGUUACCAGGAAAUGAUGACAAGUACAAGUGCCCAUGCCCUGCCUAUAUACAUAGUGGGCAAUGACAAGAACCCCCUCCUAGGUCUUGAGUGACAUAUUGAUUUUGGAGUUUAGAGCAAGUGUGGAUGGAGGCCGGAGAGAGCUGGCUGCAGACACUGUGGUGACUUUCAGCCAAGCCUGGAGGGGUUUCCAGAGCCCAUGCUAGAAGGUUUUCAUGCAUGGCAGAGGUUUCCAUGAUUGCGUUGCCUGCCUUUCUGCAGAACGACACACUGACAGUCACUCUCCAAGCUUAUUAGUCACUUGCAAUUUUCAUGAAGGAGUUUAGUUCUAAUCUAGGGAAAAAAACAUAUAUAAGGUAGCAAUUUCAUAAAGCAGGACCCAAAUUGUGCACCAAGGAAUGAAUCCUCACAGGAGAUCCAGAAACUGGUAAAAGGCAAGUCCACAUGCAUCAAAGCCCAGCAGACAAGAAAUGCUUGGAUCCUUGGCUGAGUCCACACUGGCCAAGCUAGAACCACUUCUGCUCUCUGUCUCUUAUGUCAUGCUUCUUGUCUCUGGGCUCCAUGUUGCUGCAAUCCCUGCUCCAACUACAUUCUUUACUAACCUGAAUGAAAAUGUCUAUGUUCAAGGACAUCAGGCCCAGGCCUGGCAAAUCACAGCUGCACCAUGGGCCCUACUGCUCCACUUCUCACAAGCUGCUUUUUAAUCACUUCUGUUUCAAAUCUAACCCAAGUGGAGAAGACAUGAAAAGAAAAUGUAAGCUGUACUCUAAUAGAUUUUGGAAUUGGAGGCAGAAGCAGCAGGCAUCUGAUUGCUGUCCUGUGCCCAUAGGAAGGGCCAGUUCUCUUGGCAGAGAAAACCUGGUUUCUGACUCUGAGAGAUAAUAAAGGCUAACAGCCUAUGCUGUAGUGUAGGGGUGGCACUUAGAUGUGGGCAUUCUGCUUGAGGACUGGGGUGCCAGAGCAAAGGCUGUGUCAGUAUUUAAAAUUGUAAGCAGCCUCAUAGAAAAUGUGUAUUUUUCAUGUACUUUAUCGAGUGAAUUCCUCCUAUAUAUUUUUAUACAUGGAAUGUUUGAUGUGCACUCCCCCAGGUAAUUUGCUCCCAUAAUUGGCAAUAAAUGUUAGUUAAAUUUAAUAUAUUAGUGUUGUGCUGGAUAGUUUUAUGUCAACUAGACACAGCUAGAGUCAUCAAGGAGGAAGGAGCCUCCAUUGAGGAAAUGCUUCCAUAAGAUCCAGCUGUAAGGCAUUUUAUUUUCUUAAUUAGUGAUCAAUGGGGAGGGCCGAGCCCAUUGUGGAUGGUGCCAUCUCUGGGCUGGUGGUCCUAGGUUCUGUAAGAAAGCAGGCUGAGCAAGCCAUAGGGAGCAAGCCAGUAAGCAGCACCCUCCAUGGCCUCUACAUCAGUUUGUGCUGGUUCUUCCCCUGUUUGAGUUCUUGUCUUGACUCCUUUGAUGAUGAACAGUGAUAUGGAAGUGGAAGCCAACUAAACUCUUUCCUCCCCAACUUGAUUUUUGAUUGCAAUAGAAACCCAAACCAAAAUAAAUAUUUCCAGACAAUAUCAUUUUAAUUUUUGUGUAGAUUUACGCAUAUAUGAUGUGCAUGCAUACAUACAUGUGUUUAUAUGUAUGUGGAUAUACAUGUUUGGUUGGCACCAAGUUGAUGCCUAGUGUCUUCCCAAUCUCUCUCAACCUUAUAUACAGAGGCAGGGUCUCUCACUUAAACAUGGAGUUAUCCCAUUUUGUUAGUCUAGCUAUCUUGCUCACUCAGGGGAUCUCCUGUCUCUCUUCUCCAUCACUGGCCUUACACAG